rnacentral:rRNA from 1 species
AGCAGCCGCGGUAAUUCCAGCUCCAAUAGCGUAUAUUAAAGUUGCUGCAGUUAAAAAGCUCGUAGUUGAAUUUCGGGAUCAAUACGUCGGUCGUGCUUUCGGGUACGUACUGGUGUCAUUGGUUUCUCCUUUCUGACGAGCCGUGAUGUCAUUAAUUUGGUGUUACGGGUAGUUAGGACUGUUAUUUUGAAAAAAUUUAGAGUGUUUAAAGCAGGCUUACGCUUGAAUACAUUAGCAUGGAAUAAUGAAAUAGGACGUUUGAUCCUAUUUUGUUGGUUUCUAGGAUUGACGUAAUGAUUAAUAGGGAUAGUUGGGGGCAUUAGUAUUCAAUUGUCAGAGGUGAAAUUCUUGGAUUAUUGAAGACUAACUACUGCGAAAGCAUUUGCCAAGGAUGUUUUCAUUAAUCAAGAACGAAAGUUAGGGGAUCGAAGACGAUCAGAUACCGUCGUAGUCUUAACCAUAAACUAUGCCGACUAGGGAUCGGAUGAUGUUAAUUUUUUAAUGACUCAUUCGGCGCCUU